rnacentral:rRNA from 1 species
UACGGAGGGGGCUAGCGUUGUUCGGAAUACUGGGCGUAAAGCGUGCGCAGGCGGUGAUGUAAGACAGAUGUGAAAUCCCCGGGCUCAACCUGGGAACUGCAUUUGUGACUGCAUCGCUGGAGUGCGGCAGAGGGGGGUAGAAUUCCACGUGUAGCAGUGAAAUGCGUAGAUAUGUGGAGGAAUACCGAUGGCGAAGGCAGCCCCCUGGGAUCAACACUGACGCUCAUGCA